UAAUGUUAUCUCAAAUAAGACGUCGUGAUAUAGGAGAGACUGAAGUAGAGAGCAGCCAAAAAAAAAAAAAGAAAAAAAAAGUUUAAAGUUAGUUUUUUAUUACUGAGUAUUUAAUAGACGGUGCGAUGACUAUCACAACACAUAUUGGAUCAGUCCAGACUCGAUGCGCUCUUCUUCAGUCUGCAGCCAGCCAUCGGACUUUCAUCCAGCCACUCCGGCUCUAGCCAAGGAUAGGACCGUCACCGGGGGGACCGUUUACAAGAAAAUGGAUUACAAACUUCCUGGUUUAACUGAUUCCGGUCUGACAUGAACAUCUGAAGAGAAGCUGUUUAUAAAAUCUAGUGGAUCACAAUGCAAAGGAGUCCAGCAGGUUGUCAGAUCAGACAUAAUGGAAAAUAUGACUAUGAAUAGCCGAUUCCCUGACCUCGGCUUAUCCAGCGACGUCUGCAGCAUUAUCAGCUGAAAUAUUCACUUUUACAUGCUAACAAGAAGAGACGUUAGAGGCACAGGAGCAGCAGCACACAGGACGACUGGCUUAGGGCAAGACAUCCAAGAUCACAGCGGCUGUUGUCACCUACAAGCCACUUGCAAUCAUCCUGUAGAAGAGUAAAUCUUUUUGUUUUUGUGAUAGAAAUGCAGGGUAUGUGAGUUAAUAAAGACACUGUGUGUGUGUGUGUCCGAUUUCAUUCUUAAAUGAUAAUGUAUAUGUAAGUAUGUCUGUACAAUGAAUACAAACAGAA